rnacentral:rRNA from 1 species
AACGUACGCUGGCGGCACGCCUAACACAUGCAAGUCGAACGAAGUAGCAAUACUUAGUGGCAGACGGGUGAGUAACAUGUAGGUAUCUGCCCUUUGGCCUGGAAUAACACGAGGAAACUUGUGCUAAUACCGGAUAAGUCUUUACGGAGAAAGCUUUAUGCACCAUUGGAUGAGCCUGCACUUGAUUAGUUUGUUGGUGGGGUAAUGGCCUACCAAGACUGUGAUCAAUAGCUGAUUUGAGAGGAUGAUCAGCCACAUUGGGACUGAGACACGGCCCAAACUCCUACGGGAGGCAGCAGUGGGGAAUCUUGCACAAUGGAGGAAACUCUGAUGCAGCGAUGCCGCGUGAGUGAAGAAGGCCCUUGGGUUGUAAAGCUCUUUCGUCGGGGAAGAAAAUGACUGUACCCGAAUAAGAAGGUCCGGCUAACUUCGUGCCAGCAGCCGCGGUAAUACGAAGGGACCUAGCGUAGUUCGGAAUUACUGGGCUUAAAGAGUUCGUAGGUGGUUGAAAAAGUUAGUGGUGAAAUCCCAGAGCUUAACUCUGGAACUGCCAUUAAAACUUUUCGGCUAGAGUAUGAUAGAGGAAAGCAGAAUUUCUAGUGUAGAGGUGAAAUUCGUAGAUAUUAGAAAGAAUACCAAUUGCGAAGGCAGCUUUCUGGAUCAUUACUGACACUGAGGAACGAAAGCAUGGGUAGCGAAGAGGAUUAGAUACCCUCGUAGUCCAUGCCGUAAACGAUGUGUGUUAGACGUUGGAAAUUUAUUUUCAGUGUCGCAGGGAAACCGAUAAACACACCGCCUGGGGAGUACGACCGCAAGGUUAAAACUCAAAUGAAUUGACGGGGACCCGCACAAGUAGUGGAGCAUGUGGUUUAAUUCGAAGAUACGCGCAGAACCUUACCAACACUUGACAUGUUCGUCGCGACUCUAAGAGAUUAGAGUUUUCGGUUCGGCCGGACGAAACACAGGUGCUGCAUGGCUGUCGUCAGCUCGUGUCGUGAGAUGUUGGGUUAAGUCCCGCAAUGAGCGCAACCCUCACUUUUAGUUGCCAUCAUUAAGUUGGGCACUCUGAAAGAACUGCCAGUGAUAAGCUGGAGGAAGGUGGGGAUGACGUCAAGUCCUCAUGGCCCUUACGUGUUGGGCUACACACGUGCUACAAUGGUAUCUACAACAGGAAGGGAAACUGCAAGGUUGAGCAAAUCCCUAAAAGAUACCUCAGUUCGGAUUGCACUCUGCAACUCGAGUGCAUGAAGCUGGAAUUACUAGUAAUCGUGGAUCAGCGUGCCACGGUGAAUGCGUUCCCGGGUCU